UACGUAGAAGACUAGUGUUAUUCAUCUUUAGUAGGUUUAAAGGGUACCUAGACGGUAUAAUUAGUCUUAAACAGGAUACGGUUAUACUAGAGUUAUAUAUGAGAAGGCGAGUAUUUAUGGAGUAGAGUUGAAAAUUCAUUGAUACCAUAACGACUGGAUAACGGCGAAAGCAACCUUUUAUCUAAUAACUGACGUUGAGGGACGAAAGGCU
rnacentral:rRNA from 1 species